GAUGAACGCUGGCGGCGUGCCUAAUACAUGCAAGUCGAACGAACAGACGAGGAGCUUGCUCCUCUGACGUUAGCGGCGGACGGGUGAGUAACACGUGGAUAACCUACCUAUAAGACUGGGAUAACUUCGGGAAACCGGAGCUAAUACCGGAUAAUAUAUUGAACCGCAUGGUUCAAUAGUGAAAGACGGUUUUGCUGUCACUUAUAGAUGGAUCCGCGCCGCAUUAGCUAGUUGGUAAGGUAACGGCUUACCAAGGCGACGAUGUGUAGCCGACCUGAGAGGGUGAUCGGCCACACUGGAACUGAGACACGGUCCAGGCUCCUACGGGAGGCAGCAGUAGGGAAUCUUCCGCAAUGGGCGAAAGCCUGACGGAGCAACGCCGCGUGAGUGAUGAAGGUCUUCGGAUCGUAAAACUCUGUUAUUAGGGAAGAACAAAUGUGUAAGUAACUAUGCACGUCUUGACGGUACCUAAUCAGAAAGCCACGGCUAACUACGUG
rnacentral:rRNA from 1 species